AACGAACGCUGGCGGCAGGCUUAACACAUGCAAGUCGAACGCCCCGCAAGGGGAGUGGCAGACGGGUGAGUAACGCGUGGGAAUCUACCCAUCUCUACGGAAUAACUCAGGGAAACUUGUGCUAAUACCGUAUACGCCCUUCGGGGGAAAGAUUUAUCGGAGAUGGAUGAGCCCGCGUUGGAUUAGCUAGUUGGUGGGGUAAAGGCCUACCAAGGCGACGAUCCAUAGCUGGUCUGAGAGGAUGCUCAGCCACAUUGGGACUGAGACACGGCCCAAACUCCUACGGGAGGCAGCAGUGGGGAAUAUUGGACAAUGGGCGCAAGCCUGAUCCAGCCAUGCCGCGUGAGUGAUGAAGGCCCUAGGGUUGUAAAGCUCUUUCACCGAUGAAGAUAAUGACUGUAGUCGGAGAAGAAGCCCCGGCUAACUUCGUGCCAGCCGCCGCAGUAAGAC
rnacentral:rRNA from 1 species